AUUGAACGCUGGCGGCAGGCCUAACACGUGCAAGUCGCGCGAGCGGCGGACGGGUGAGUAAUGUCUGGGAAACUGCCUGAUGGAGGGGGAUAACUACUGGAAACGGUAGCUAAUACCGCAUACCAUCAGAUGUGCCCAGCUGGGAUUAGCUAGUAGGUGGGGUAAUGUCUCACCUAGGCGACGAUCCCUAGCUGGUCUGAGAGGAUGACAAGCCACACGGGAACUGAGACACGGUCCAGAAUCCUAGGGGAGGCAGUAGUGGUGAACAUUGCACAAUGGGCGCAAGCCUGAGGCAGCCAGGCCGCGUGUGUGAAGAAGGCUUUCGGGUUGUAAAGCACGUUCAGCGGGGAGGCGUUACCCGCAGAAGAAGCACCGGCUAACUCCGUGCCAGCAGCCGCGGUAAUAC
rnacentral:rRNA from 1 species